rnacentral:rRNA from 1 species
GAGUUUGAUCCUGGCUCAGGAUGAACGCUGGCGGCGUGCCUAAUACAUGCAAGUCGAACGGAGAUUGUAGCAAUACGGUCUUAGUGGCGAACGGGUGAGUAACGCGUUGGUAACCUGCCCCGAAGCGUGGGAUAACGGUCCGAAAGGACCACUAAUACCACAUGUGAUCCCGAGGAAUAGAUACUUGGGAUGAAAGGAGCAAUUCGCUUCGGGAGGGACCUGCGUCCCAUCAGCUAGUUGGUAGGGUAACGGCCUACCAAGGCGAUGACGGGUAGGGGACCUGAGAGGGUGGCCCCCCACAAUGGAACUGAAACACGGUCCAUACACCUACGGGUGGCAGCAGUAGGGAAUAUUGGUUAAUGUGCGAAAGCGCGAAUC